rnacentral:ncRNA from 1 species
CUCUUAUCAAGAGAGGUGGAGGGACUGGCCCUUUGAAACCUCGGCAGCGGACACUUUUGCACCGUGCCAAUUCCAGCAAGCGAUUAAGCUUGGAAGAUAAGAA